AACGCACAUUGCGCCCGCCAGUAUUCUGGCGGGCAUGCCUGUUCGAGCGUCAUUUCAACCCUCAAGCCCAGCUUGGUGUUGGGGCAUUGCGGCUCGUCCGCAAGCCCUGAAAAUCAGUGGCGGGCUCGCCGUAACUCCGAGCGCAGUAGUUCAUUCUCGCUCUGGAAGAGUGGCGGGUGCCGGCCGUUAAACCCCCAAAUUUCUAAAGGUUGACCUCGGAUCAGGUAGGAAUACCCGCUGAACUUAA
rnacentral:misc_RNA from 1 species